GCCCCGGUAGCUCAGUGGAUAGAGUGUUUGCCUCCGGAGCAAAAGGUCAUGGGUUCGAAUCCCAUCCGGGGCGC
rnacentral:tRNA from 3 species